rnacentral:rRNA from 1 species
UACGAAGGGGGCUAGCGUUGCUCGGAAUCACUGGGCGUAAAGCGCACGUAGGCGGAUCGAUCAGUCAGGGGUGAAAGCCCGGAGCUCAACUCCGGAAUUGCCUUUAAGACUGCAUCGCUCGAAUCAUGGAGAGGUGAGUGGAAUUCCGAGUGUAGAGGUGAAAAUUCGUAGAUAUUCGGAAGAACACCAGUGGCGAAGGCGACUCACUGGACAUGUAUUGACGCUGAGGUGCGAAAGCGUGGGGAGCAAACAGGG